CACAAAUGGAGAAGCACUCUGACUGAGGGAUGAAACCUCUGUUCCUGCAGGGAGCACAUUCAAGAGGACAGCUUUUGUGCACCGUUCCUGGCUUGUACCUGAAUGUCUCCAGACUCUGCCCCUCAGAGCGUGGCUGGGUCACCCAUGAAGCCUGUGCACACUGAACCUGCACUCCCAGCUCUAGCCCGAAGUGAGGACUCAGUCCAUAUCCAGUGCUGAUGCAAACGUAGCUAAACACAGAGCAACACGAGCAGGAAAGCACAGAAGAGUGCUGAGGGCAGCUAAACAGAAGUUGUGAGGAUGCUGUCUGUGUCACUGUGUUUGCCCAGGCAGGCCUGGUCCAUCUUUACCAGGGUGGCAAAAAAUGGCUCUCCUAAAUAAAUGUUCCAGAUGAGCUGAA